AGUGAACGCUGGCGGUAGGCCUAACACAUGCAAGUCGAACGGCAGCACAGUAAGAGCUUGCCCUUACGGGUGGCGAGUGGCGGACGGGUGAGGAAUACAUCGGAAUCUACUUUUUCGUGGGGGAUAACGUAGGGAAACUUACGCUAAUACCGCAUACGACCUACGGGUGAAAGCAGGGGUUCUUCGGACCUUUCGCGAUUGAUUGAGCCGAUGUCGGAUUAGCUAGUUGGCGGGGUAAAGGCCCACCAAGGCGACGAUCCGUAGCUGGUCUGAGAGGAUGAUCAGCCACACUGGAACUGAGACACGGUCCAGACUCCUACGGGAGGCAGCAGUGGGGAAUAUUGGACAAAGGGCGCAAGCCUGAUCCAGCCAUACCGCGUGGGUGAAGAAGGCCUUCGGGUUGUAAAGCCCUUUUGUUGGGAAAGAAAAGCAGCAGGUUAAUCCCCCGCUGUUCUGACGGUACCCAAAGAAUAAGCACCGGCUAACUUCGUG
rnacentral:rRNA from 1 species